UUGCAUAAAUACUUGUGUUUUCAUGAUGCACAGUUCAUAUUGCUGUUAUAAUUUCAUGUAACAAAUAUAACUUAAUUUGGUGUAAAGAUAAAAUGUAAUACAUGUUUAAGAACUAAAGGGUAGAAUAAGCUGCUAAAUGAUAUGUGGUUAACAGUGUAUCUAUCUCAUUCUGUAUAUUUACGUUUGUCCCGGAACUAAUGUUUUCUGUCUGUGUUACCGCUACAACGGUUUAAGUCGACACUCACUGCCUUGAAUUCCGGCGGAGCAGAUAGCUCCGAUGCUUGUUAAACUGCAUUAAAGUUAAAAAUGUGGUUUGAAGUUAAUGCAGACGACCAAAUGGACAUUCAAGAGACUUCAAAGAACUUAGUAACCUCUUUUCACGACAAGCGGCCAACGAGUUCUCACGGCGUAUAAGGCAUAUACGACGUUCAAGGCGUACAUGGUGUGAGGCUGGAUGUACCAAAGAGACCCGAUGUGCCCACAGCAAUAAACGCCCGUUGCAAAGAACUGACCUGUGUCUGUGUUGUCGCGAAGAGAGCUACAGUGAGAACUCGACCUGCUCGGCGCGGGUAUGAGAGAAGACGAGAUUACGGCGGGUAACGACGUGAUGAAGAUCCAGCAUGUAAGAUAAGCAAAGCCCAGGACACACUGUCGACAUAGCUACCACAAGCAAAUGUUAUAAGACUUUGUUAAAAGGUGCGACUUUCCGUAUAAAGGCCAGAAAGAGCUCUACCAAAGCCAUCUUAAGUCAAGUGGUGUGAGAAGUGGUUUAACUUGGAAAUUGCAGUUAAGGAUUUAAGUCUAUUACCCUUGCAUACUGUUUAGCCUGUGUUUAAGAAAAUAUCUAAUGUGCUGGUAUUCAUGAUUGUUACAUGCAACAAAUCUAAAAGGAAGAAAGUUCAAGCCCCUUAAGCAAAUUAACACGUUUCAGUAAGGUUAAAGGAAAGUACAUUGUAAUUUAUUUUCUUUAUUUAUACUUUGAAAGGUAACAGAAGUUAAAGUAUAACUUAAGCUAAGUUUAAAGAGUAAUUUCAUUGAUGUUUUUUCAAUUUCAAGUGUAAAAACAAGUGUUUUGAUGCCUUUUGAGCAUAUUUAAUUCACAAUUAAGGUUUAUGUUAAUUAAGGUUUGUGUUUUGCCAAACUAAUUCCUAGUUUAAGCUAACUUGAAGUCUAAACAAGUUUAAAUACUGACACAGUUUGUGGUACAACAUUUACGUAUUCAGAGUUAGACUUCGCUCACUGUCUUCACACAUCUGUUAAGAUUCAAAUAAUUACUAAAAUUUCCUAGUUAAUCACACUUAGCCUACUGUAGCUUACACACAGCCCAAAAUGUCAAACUCAAGUCCUGAGACCUGUCAUGAGAAUAGAAAAUCAUCUGCUCAAGCCGAAACUAUAGACAUUGGAGCUACAGAAGAUGUAGAAAGGCUACGAAGAAGCGAAAGAACCCGAACCCUAAC